rnacentral:rRNA from 1 species
UACGAAGGGGGCUAGCGUUGCUCGGAAUCACUGGGCGUAAAGCGCACGUAGGCGGCUUUUUAAGUCAGGGGGUGAAAUCCUGGAGCUCAACUCCAGAACUGCCUUUGAUACUGGGAGCUCGAGUCCGGGAGAGGUGAGUGGAACUCCGAGUGUAGAGGUGAAAUUCGUAGAUAUUCGGAAGAACACCAGUGGCGAAGGCGGCUCACUGGCCCGGUACUGACGCUGAGGUGCGAAAGCGGUGGGGAGCAAACGGGG